UCCGUCGAUUUUGGUUCAAACCCUCACUGGGGGCUCAAUCUCCAUUUCCAUGGCAGUACUCUAAUCUGAACUGAAGAAAAUCUUCCCAAAAAAAAAAAAAAACACAAAAACAAAAGCAAAACAAAAAUAAAGCAAAAAAUACAAAAAAAAAAUACCAAAACAAUAGGAAAAAUUAGUGCCGGUAGAGCUCGUUGACGAAGAAGUUCAGUCUAAAUCUUCUUUACGGUUCAUUUCUAUAGAUCUUAAAUCUUACAGAAGAACUUCCUCCAUAAUUCCGAUGCACAGGUGGAAUCUUCUUUGGUAUAACUUUUCGUGGUUUGAUUUGGAUCUAGCGUGGAAGAGAUAAACUAGGGUUGUUCCAAAGGUUGUGACUUUUAGUAUAGUUAUAUCAGCUUUGUGUUGAGUUGUAGAAGUUGGAUCUACUGGGUGAAACUGAAAUCGUGUUCUUUUAACUUAAAACUGGAUACAUACUUUGACUUGAAGUUAUUUUGCUAUGGAAGCAGUGGUUGUUAUUGAGCAGCAUAGGAACCAAUACUAUGAUCGGGUCAAGCCGCAUGGCCCAGCUCGAUUUGGAUCACUCCCAUCCCGAGACUUCAGAGGGAUGAAUUGUAGGAGUUUCCAGUCCGGAGCUGGUAUCCUUCCAACUCCUUUGAAGGCUUGUACCUCUGAAACCAAACAUGUCUACCCGUCUUCUCCUAGAACACCCCCAGCUUGUUUAAGUUCCAACUCAGAAAAUAGAAAACAACUUGCUACUGUGAGAAGUGCUCCAAUUCCUAUCAAACCGAAAUUCUCAAACAAGAAUAGUGCUUUCCAUGAAGAAUUCUGUGACAGGAGUUUCUCGUUGUCUGAGCUUUGGGCUGGACCCACUUACUCCAAUUCACCACCUCCAAGUUCACUACCCAUUCCCAAAUUUUCAGUUGCUAAGAGAACCACCUCAUUGGAAUUGCCUCGUUCUGCCCCUGAAUUUGAAAUGCAUCAUCCAUCUGCUAAGUCUGCGCCUCCAUCCCCAACUCGAGACCAAAACUUUUCCUCCAGAUUUUUCUUUCAUAGUGAUGACUCUGCGACUAAGACUCUGCGUCGCAUUCUUAAUCUCGAUGUUGACAAUGAAUGAACUUCAGGGAGCAUCAAGCUCCUGUAAAUAGGCUUACUCUGUGAGCCGGUUAGUUUCAGUUUGUAUAUAGAAUCAAUAAAUUGGUUAGUGAGGACAGUCACGAGUAUCCUUGGUUUUCAGUGCUGGUGUACAUCCUUCAAUCGCAGCUAUGGACUCUGAUGCUUUCAACUAAUAUUCAGAUGUUGCACCUUAAUCUGUGGUAAUGCAGAACAUGAUUUGGUUUUUGCAGACAAAGACAAGAUAGGGUGUGAUAGCAACACAGAUUAAAUCCAAAGAUAUUGGGAAGACAGAAGUAGGCUGUUGGUGAACUUUAAUGUUGUAGUGAAUGAAAUCUUCAUUCUGCACUGUAGGAAUCUGCUGGCUAUUUUCCAUCUUGCUUCAUAUGAACAUUACUAAGAGCAGUCAUGGAUCUGCUGGCUAUUAUCUCUGUUCUGGCCAUCAUGUCUUUACCAGAUUCUUAGCCUCCAUUCCAUUCUAGAGUUUAAGUAGUCAUGUAAUUUGUAUCAUACUGUAGGAACCCAAUCUAAUGCUUUUUUUAAUUUCUGUAGGUUUCUGUUUCAUUCUUUCCAUUCAUUCCUUACAUAUUCUCCGUUUAGCUGCUAUCCUUCUUACAUAGAUAGUCUGAUGACUUAUUGGUUAGGUUCCUUGUCCCUGAUGAAUUGGUUAUUCGACAGUUAAAUCUCUCCUUUUCUUAACACUCUCAAUCCCUUUCUUUUUCUCAUACCUCAUCUAAAUCUUGUAGCUUCACUCCUUUGCCUGCACACUAUGAAGGAAAUAUUCCUUUUCAGCUGCCUUUUCAGUUUUUUUUGAAAGAAAAGGUGGGAUAGGAUAGUGAUAGUUGACUUUCUAGUUUUCUUCUUUCAAAUUACUCCGUGUAGCAUUUUCCUGUGUUCAUUACCUCUUGGUUUUAUCAUCUGUGUACCUGUCUAGUAUGGAACUUUCUUACUGGUUUUUGCAAGGUUCAUCGCCUUCCACGAGAUCAUUGACCACAUGGAGCAGAACGGUAUGUAAGAAAACUUAAGGGUGAACAGUUCAGGUGACGGUUUCAGUGGCAUGGUUGGUUUGCGAGUUUUCUUCUUAGAAGCCUGGGUCCCGUUUGUGUUUGUUUAUCAUUGUAUUUGAAAGCUGUACACCGUCAGAGUCCUACUGUUGGUCGUUGGAGCCUUAUCUCUUUUUAGUUUCUUUGUUUUCAUAUCAGUUUGGAUGGUAAUUGCCUUGACUUUCUGUUUUGAAGGGCAAUGUUUAUCAUUGCAAUUCCAGAAAGUGAAGCAAAUAUUGUAAUGUUUAUGUUAUUUCAGCUUGUUGGCUUGUUUAUGUAUUGAAUAGUUUGUGCACUGCAGAAGUGAAAUCGUACAAGCUUUGCCACAGAA